rnacentral:ncRNA from 2 species
ACCGUGGGCCGUGACUGGCGCGCAAGGAUGGGAACAACCAUCGGGAAGCGGCCCCGGACCCUCCGGGUCCGAAACAUGUGCCGUGCGCCUGGGCCGACCCG